ACUUUGAAGAAAGACUUCUCGACGCCGAGACACUGCUGGUGGUACUCGAUCCCAGUGUGUUUUAUGUAUUACAGCACAUCUUGGUUUGGACAGACCACAUAGUGGCCAGUGGCUGCCAUAUUGGACAGCACUGGUGUAAGAGGGUCCAUCUCUCACUCCCACAUCAAUGUCCAAUGGUUUCUCAUUCAACUGGAAAGUGAAAUUGGAAAUCUUGUGAAAGAUGAAGAAUUAUGAAUGUGGUACGUUGAACUGCUGGGCCCACCCACAAGACAUCAACAAAUGAAGGUGUGGAAGGGUUAAACCAGUUAACGUUGAACAAAGGACAAUGGAUAUGAUGAGUUACAAGCUGAGUUGUAUCCCUCCACAAUUCACAUGUUGAAGUCCUAACCUUUAGUACUUCAGGGUGUAACUUAUUUGGAAACUAGAUCAUUAUAGAAGUUAAAACGAGGUCAUAAGGGUGGGCCCUAAUCUUACUAACCUGUCCCUAUAAAAGGGAAAUUUGAACACAGUGACACCCAGAGGGAAGAUGAUGUGAAGACAGAGAGAGAAGACAGCCAUCAGCAAGCCAAGGAGAGAAGUCUGGAAUGGAUCCUCCCCUCACAGCCCUCAGAAGGAACCAAGCCAGCCAGCCUCUCAAUCUCACACUUUUAGCCUCCAGAUCUGUGAGACAAUAAGUUUAUGUUGUUUAAGCCCUCCAGUCUGUGGUACUUUGUAAUGUAGCCCCAGCAAACUAAAACAUGGGUUGGCUGGUGGCAUUAGAACAAGUUGCCCAUGAAAAGGUUACAGGCAGCCUAUAGGACAAUUGAAGAUGCAUUCUACUUUCUGCCUGCACUGUGCAUCUAGUGAAGAAAAAAAAAAAAAACACCUCAAUAACUAUCAGUGAUUCAUGGUGUCAUGGAGGCUCCCUCUGCACAUGUCUUGGGGAAAAGAGAGGAUAAACGGUGGAUAGUGGAAGUUCAAGCCUCCAUCCCUUAUUAUCUGUGUAAUGGGCCAACACACCUCAUUCCUUGAGUUCCUGGCAAGUAGAACUUUCUCCACUAAAGUUUCUGACAAAGGCCUUCUCCAAAUAAGACCCAAUGAGACAUUUGGGAUUCAUUGCCUCCUACUUUCUAGAAACAAAUAGAAAAGGCAGGAAGCACAGCUAACAACAUUGGUGGCCAGCUGAAGGAGUUUACACACCCUACCAUGACCCUGGUAGAGUAGAGACAGCAUGAGUUGAAGCCUGCUACUCAGAAUCCACUGCAACUAAGAGUGUGUGUGUGUGUGUGUGUGUGUGUGUGUGUGUGUGUGUAUGUAUGUGUGUAUGUGUGUGUUUUCUGCAGUUCCAGUCACAGAUCUGCCUGCCACACAGUGGAGCCCUCUCUUGGACUCUGAAUGCAUAGCCCAGCAAAGCCAAGCAACUGAAUCUCACCAUCAGAACAGCUGAGAGCAGCUCCAUCAAAGCAGUCAGUGGUACAUGUGAUCAAUUUGUUUUUUGUAUUUCUGGGCUACAAAAUGUCUCUUAAGUUUCAUCAUUGGACCUAUCGAGAAAGGAGAAAUCAAUUGAGUUGUGGAGAUAAAAGAAAAUUACACACACCCAUGCAUGACCAGGCAACAGAGUCCCAUGCCUGGGGCUAGGCUGGGUGGCUGGCUGUGCCAUUGACUUUCAGGGUGUGUAACUUUUGCCAUCUGUAUGGGGAUGAUAAAACUUCCAUGUGAUCCUUCAGCUGUGGUGAGGAUUCUGUGAGCUGGAAGGUGAAGAGCAUGGUGCAUUCUGUGCCUGAUGUGGACUGUGCACCCAAUGGAGGAGGGAUAUCAUCAUCUCAAACCAUACCCCUAUCCCCAUUUUACAGGUGAGGAAACUGGGGCAUAGAGAGGACCAGUUCCUCUGAGGUCAGCCAGCAAGUGCACGGCAGAAUCAAGUCUCAAACUGGGAGUUGUCUGCUCCCUGAGCCCAGGACUUUCAUUGAAAGCCUCUGAGUCACCAGGGGCAUUGAAGCCCCUCUGGGUGUCUCAAGCAACCCCACAAGGACUGUGUUUUCAACUUAUAGAUGAGAAGACCACCAGCCUGGACAACAUGGCAAAACACCAUCUCUACAAAACAAAAAGAGGAUAGCGGCCAGGCACGGUGGCUCACGCCUGUAAUCCCAGCACUUUGGGAGGCCAAGGCGGGUUGAUCACGAGGUCAAGAGAUCAAGACCAUCCUGGCCAAAAUGGUGAAACCCUGUCUCUACUAAAAAUACAAAAAAUUAGCUGGACGUGGUGGCACGCACCUGUAGUCCCAGCUACUCGGGAGGCUGAGGCAGGAAAAUCGCUUGAACCUGGGAAGUGGAGGUUGCAGUGAGCCGAGAUUGCGCCACUGCACUCCAGCCUGGCGACAGAGUAAAACUCCGUCUC
rnacentral:lncRNA from 1 species